UACGUAGGGUGCGAGCGUUGUCCGGAAUUAUUGGGCGUAAAGAGCUCGUAGGCGGUUUGUCGCGUCGGAUGUGAAAGCCCGGGGCUUAACUCCGGGUCUGCAUUCGAUACGGGCAGGCUAGAGUUCGGUAGGGGAGAGUGGAAUUCCUGGUGUAGCGGUGAAAUGCGCAGAUAUCAGGAAGAACACCCGUGGCGAAGGCGGGCUCUCGUACGUACGUACUGA
rnacentral:rRNA from 1 species